rnacentral:piRNA from 1 species
UGUGUAUAUAAUGUUUAUUUUUAGGUAGC